rnacentral:rRNA from 1 species
UACGGAGGGGCUAGCGUUGUUCGGAAUUACUGGGCGUAAAGCGCACGUAGGCGGCUUUGUAAGUUAGAGGUGAAAGCCUGGAGCUCAACUCCAGAACUGCCUUUAAGACUGCAUCGCUUGAAUCCAGGAGAGGUGAGUGGAAUUCCGAGUGUAGAGGUGAAAUUCGUAGAUAUUCGGAAGAACACCAGUGGCGAAGGCGGCUCACUGGACUGGUAUUGACGCUGAGGUGGCGAAAGCGUGGGAGCAACAGG